rnacentral:lncRNA from 10 species
CCUUCCUCCCUCCAGGUUUUCUUCAGUGUCGAAAUUGGUAUGGAGACGUGGAUGGAGAUUUGAGUCUUAGGAAUUUGGGAAGGGCCACCGGGGUUGGCUGAGUCAGAAUACCAGCCAUGUGGCAUGUCGCAUGGGGCAAGAGCUGUGCUGCCCAUGGGAGUCCAGAGAAGGAGCACACUAAGGACCAACACCAGCAUUUGCUCUAGGGGAAGCCUGCAGCUAUGUCAUGAGGACCCUCAACAGCCCUGUGCAGAGGACUAUGUGGCAUGAAAGAUACCUUCUGCCAACAACCAGCCCCAACUUGCCAAGCAUGUGAACAAGCUAAACUGAAAGCAGAUCUUCAGCCCCAAUCAAGCCUUCAGAUGACAGUAACCUCAGCCAAUAUACUGACUAUAACCUCAUAAAAGACCCUGAACCAGAACCCUCUAAGCCACUCUCAAACUCUACCCCACAUAAACUGUGAAAUAAUAUAUGUUUAUUGUUAUUUUGGGCCACUAAGUUUAGGGGUAAUUUGUUAUGCAGCAAUUAUAUAACCAAUAUUCCAACUAAAGCUGAAAUGCCUCCUGCAUUUCCUCCCUCAGUGGCCUACACUACAAUCCAAGUUCAGGAAAAAACGAGAACCUUAUUUAAGGUAGUGGCAAGAAAUGAAUGGAUUAACUGGACAUUUAAAAAGUAUUUGAUAGAACUUGGUGAUAGGAGGUGGGGCAGUUAGGGACUAGCAGGAAUUUAGGAUGAGAGGCUCAUUCAGUUGGGCUUAUGUUUUACUGAGGUCAAUUCCAAAAGGAAGGAAAGAAAAAUCCAGCCAAAUAACCUUUAAUGGACUAAGUCUUCUUUCAUAAGUCAGUUUGCACAACUUCUUCACAGGAAUCAGAUUUUAAAUAUCAUAACUGAAGAGAAAAAAAACAGCAAGAGGAGUUUACCUUUAUGGUGGA